rnacentral:misc_RNA from 1 species
AAAACUAUCGUGAGGAAAGUGUAAAAAGUGAAUCUACCGUGCCUUACUGAAACCUUCACCCACCCGGUGGCUUGCCCGGAGGGUGGCGUGAAGAGAGAAGGAAGAACUUCCGGAUUUCGUCGUCGCACAGGCGAUUUGGCCGAUCCUCCCGUUAACUUCUUUGGAAAUAUCUUCUUAGAGGAGAUCGCUACCGUCAUCGUCAUCGCUUUCGUCCUACCGUCGUAGCAUCGUCCUGCCGGAUACCAUGGUCUGUUUUACGUGAUUGGUCUUACUCCCGUAUCCUACCGACAAUGGAGUAACUGAUUAGGAAAAGAUAUACGGUGCGUCCACGUCCGGAUUUAUUUAAUGAUUGCGACAACGAGGAAUUUUUUAGACAGUUUCGCUUCCGUAAGCCGACUGUGCAAGUAAUUCUAGCUCUUAUCGAACCUAGAAUAAGAAGCAGAACCGACAGAAAUAAAGCUGUGGAUCCUUUACACCAAUUAUUGCUGACUUUAAGAUUUUUUGCAACUGGGAGUUUUCAACUUGUAAUUGGUGAUCUUGGUGGGAUACACAAAUCUAUGAUGUGUCGAAUCAUAAAGAAGGUUACGGAAGCCAUAGCAGCCUUACGCCCACAAUACAUUCGAUUUCCUAAUACAGAUCUGGGUCUGCAACAAAGCAGAACAAAAUCGUAAAAUAUCGCUCGCUUCCCUCGAGUUGUGAGAGCUAUUGAUUGUACUCACAUCAAAAUACAAUCAUCAG